GAUGAACGCUGGCGGCGUGCCUAAUACAUGCAAGUAGAACGCUGAAGGAAGGAGCUUGCUCUUUCCGGAUGAGUUGCGAACGGGUGAGUAACGCGUAGGUAACCUGCCUGGUAGCGGGGGAUAACUAUUGGAAACGAUAGCUAAUACCGCAUAACAGUAGAUGUUGCAUGAUAUCUACUUAAAAGGUGCAAUUGCACCACUACCAGAUGGACCUGCGUUGUAUUAGCUAGUUGGUGAGGUAACGGCUCACCAAGGCGACGAUACAUAGCCGACCUGAGAGGGUGAUCGGCCACACUGGGACUGGGACCCGGCCCAGACUCCUCCGGGAGGCAGCAGUAGGGAAUCUUCGGCAAUGGGCGGAAGUCUGACCGAGCAACGCCGCGUGAGUGAAGAAGGUUUUCGGAUCGUAAAGCUCUGUUGUAAGAGAAGAACGAGUGUGAGAGUGGAAAGUUCACACUGUGACGGUAUCUUACCAGAAAGGGACGGCUAACUACGUG
rnacentral:rRNA from 1 species